GCACAUGGACCCACUGGUCAAGCGGGCUCGGCAAGGCCAGGAUGAAGAGAAGCUACGAACUUAGCAUUCCCAGAGCCCCCCGAGUGGAUAUCCGCGUGGAAAGGAUGUUGGCAGCCCCGGUGACCUCGGAGUCACGGCUGGAUCCACCCUCUUGUCUGAUUUUCUUAACUCUACUACGGUAAGAAGAUGCCCUCCAUCAGCAGGCCGUGUCUGCUGGGACCUCUCUGGAGACUUCCUGAACCCUGUGGAUUUACAGUAAGAUGCAGUUUCCUGGGGAGUAAUUCUGGUGGAUACAAAUUCCGGAGUAUUACACCUGGCUUGCCUGGAGAUGUUACAAGUAGCUGGAUGGAUUCUUCAGCCUGGAUGCCCACUGAAAACAAGGACCGAAACUAAGAGGAUUGUAUCUCUACCCUUGACUCAAUGAGAAUGUUUGUUGUCAUCUCUCGGGCUACCUGGAGCUCCCUCUAAAAUGGGCUGGGACACUGCCUGAUUGAGGUGGCCAUUGAGAAUUCAAGUGUACCUCUUGGUCCCUGAUGCAGAAAUGAAGUCCCCAGCAUGCUCAAGAAGAGCUUCCUUGGAGGAUGAGAGGCAUGGGAAUCUAAGGGCCUUCUUUGGGGAGAGCAAAUACCCUCUGACAUCACACCUGUGCUCAGAAACGUCUUGGUUGAACAGCCAGGUAUUUGGCUUUCCUCAGCUGCUACAGGUGCCCCAGUCUACCGGCCCGAUCUAUUUGCAGUGGUCAGAUGGUGUUUGGAUGGAUUCCUGAGAAAUCCAUCCAUGGUCACUUAUUUUCUAGCAGGCUCAUUGUUUCCUGCUCAGUGUGUAAGAUCUGCUACCCAUGGCUGACUGAUCGUGGCAACAUCUGUGCGGCCAUUUGGCCUCACGGUCCGAGUAAACAACCAGCUGCCCCAGAUGAGGAAGCUAAAUUACUGAGAACAGAACUGGUGAGCCUCUGUUGUGAUGGAUUGUGUCUCCCAUCUCCAUCCUUUAAUGAUGGACCCCCUGCCUUACCCAGGCACUGCUUAUCUUUGUUGAAGCUCCUUUGCCAUUGUAUAUUCCCCCCCCACCCCCCCCUUGCUGCAAAGAAGAUUACAUGGCCCUACCUUUGGCCUUAUGAUGUGGAGAAGAGGAUGAGGGACCUGAGCAUACUUGGAAUUCUGCUGCAGAUACCAAAGCCAAAGGGCUAAGGAGUGGGCUUCCAAUCAGCCUUCUUGUCUCUUAAUUCUUAAGGAUCUUGGGUGGCCUGGAUCUGCCUGUCACAGAUACUGAGUCCUUUGUUUUGCCUAGUCACAGAAAGUAUGACAUAAACUUUGGGUCCCAGCAGUUGACAUUUUGCGAUGCCUAAAGGCCUUUAGCAGACCCAUGGUUUGCUUGGCCAUGUCAGAUGUCAGGGAGCAAGCUACUGUCCUAUUCUUGGGGACAGUGUUGGCAGUGAUAUGACAAGGGAACCUGAGCAGCAGCAUCUGCAGCAGGCUGACCCCCUCCCUACCCUCUUCCUUCUGCUGGGUUGCCUGAGGGACUUCUGAACAGAUAUCCUCAAAGUGGACAGAUGAGUCCUGUCACCCUGUGUGCACAUGUCUCUUAUCCCUAGCUCAUCUCUGUGGAAGGGUAGGAAUCUGUGACUCUACAAGUUCUAUGUGUGACAGUAAGAUUGAGACUUUUCUACUCUUCACUGAGCCCCUGGGACUCCCCUCCCCCCAUGCUCUUGGAAGAAACUUAGAAACUUUAAUUUCCUAAUUUUCAUAGAACAUCACUCCUUAUGUAUGAUCAAAAACAUCAAUUAAAAACACUCAACAGUUU
rnacentral:lncRNA from 1 species